rnacentral:rRNA from 1 species
UACGAAGGGUGCUAGCGUUGUUCGGAAUCAUUGGGCGUAAAGCGCACGUAGGCGGUCUGUUAUGUCGGAUGUGAAAGCCCUUGGCUCAACUGAGGAAGUGCAUCCGAAACUGGCAGGCUAGAGUAUGUAAGAGGGUCGCGGAAUUCCCGGUGUAGAGGUGAAAUUCGUAGAUAUCAGGAGGAACACCGGUGGCGAAGGCGGUUCUCUGGGCAUUACCUGACGCUGAGGAGCGAAAGUGUGGGGAGCGAACAGG